GACGUAGGGCGCGAGCGUUGUCCGGAUUUAUUGGGCGUAAAGAGCUCGUAGGCGGCUUGUCGCGUCGACUGUGAAAUCCCGAGGCUCAACUUCGGGCUUGCAGUCGAUACGGGCAGGCUAGAGUUCGGUAGGGGAGACUGGAAUUCCUGGUGUAGCGGUGAAAUGCGCAGAUAUCAGGAGGAACACCGGUGGCGAAGGCGGGUCUCUGGGCCGAUACUGACGCUGAGGAGCGAAAGCGUGGGGAGCGAACAGG
rnacentral:rRNA from 1 species